CUCCGUCCAGGAUCCUGAGUACGGCGGAACACGUGAAAUUCCGUCGGAAUCCGGGAGGACCAUCUCCCAAGGCUAAAUACUCCCUAGUGACCGAUAGUGAACCAGUACCGUGAGGGAAAGGUGAAAAGCACCCCGGAAGGGGAGUGAAACAGUUCCUGAAACCGUGUGCCUACAAUUAGUCAAAGCCCGUUAACGGGUAAUGGCGUGCCUUUUGUAGAAUGAACCGGCGAGUUACGUUUGCCUGCGAGGUUAAGAUGAAAAGUCGGAGCCGGAGCGAAAGCGAGUCUGAACAGGGCGCUUCAGUAGGUAGAUGUAGACCCGAAACCAAGUGACCUACCCAUGACCAGGUUGAAGGUGUGGUGAAACACACUGGAGGACCGAACCCAUGUAUGUUGAAAAAUGCUGGGAUGAGUUGUGGGUAGCGGUGAAAUUCCAAACGAACUUGGAGAUAGCUGGUUCUCUCCGAAAUAGCUUUAGGGUUAGCCUCGGAGGAUGGAUCAUGGAGGUAGAGCACUGUUUGAACUAGGGGCCCGUCAAGGGUUACUGAAUUCAGAUAAACUCCGAAUACCAUUGAUCUUACUCCGGGAGUCAGACAGUGAGCGAUAAGGUCCAUUGUCGAAAGGGGAACAGCCCAGAUCACCAGUUAAGGUCCCUAAAUUUAUGCUAAGUGGAAAAGGAUGUGGCGUUGCACAGACAACUAGGAUGUUGGCUCAGAAGCAGCCACCAUUUAAAGAGUGCGUAAUAGCUCACUAGUCGAGUGGCACUGCGCCGAAAAUAUACCGGGGCUAAGCAUAAUACCGAAACUGUGGGUGCACCCGUCAGGGUGCGCGGUAGGAGAGCGUUCUAAGGGCGUUGAAGGUCGAUCGUGAGGACGGCUGGAGCGCUUAGAAGUGAGAAUGCCGGCAUGAGUAGCGAAAGAUCAGUGAGAAUCUGAUCCACCGUAUGACUAAGGUUUCCUGGGGAAGGCUCGUCCUCCCAGGGUUAGUCGGGAUCUAAGGCGAGGCCGCAAGGCGUAGUCGAUGACAAGCAGGUUGAGAUUCCUGCACUAGUUUAUUUUGUUUAAGCGAUGGAGGGACGCAG
rnacentral:rRNA from 2 species